AGUGAACGCUGGCGGUAGGCCUAACACAUGCAAGUCGAACGGCAGCACAGUAAGAGCUUGCUCUUACGGGUGGCGAGUGGCGGACGGGUGAGGAAUACAUCGGAAUCUACUUUUUCGUGGGGGAUAACGUAGGGAAACUUACGCUAAUACCGCAUACGACCUACGGGUGAAAGCAGGGGAUCUUCGGACCUUGCGCGAUUGAAUGAGCCGAUGUCGGAUUAGCUAGUUGGCGGGGUAAAGGCCCACCAAGGCGACGAUCCGUAGCUGGUCUGAGAGGAUGAUAAGCCACACUGGAACUGAGACACGGUCCAGACUCCUACGGGAGGCAGCAGUGGGAAAUAUUGGACAAUGGGCGCAAGCCUGAUCCAGCCAUACCGCGUGGGUGAAGAAGGCCUUCGGGUUGUAAAGCCCUUUUUUUGGGAAAAAAAGGCAGCAGGUUAAUACCCCGCUGUUCUGACGGUACCCAAAGAAUAGCACCGGCUAACUUCGUG
rnacentral:rRNA from 1 species